AAUGAACGCUGGCGGCGCGCCUAAUACAUGCAAGUCGAGCGAGAAGACGUAGCAAUACGUUUGUAAAGCGGCGAACGGGUGAGGAAUACAUGGGUAACCUACCCUCGAGUGGGGAAUAACUAGCCGAAAGGUUAGCUAAUACCGCGUACGCUUCUUGGACUUCGGUUCAGGGAGGAAAGCGAUACCGUGGGUAUCGCGCUCUUGGAUGGGCUCAUGUCCUAUCAGCUUGUUGGUGAGGUAACGGCUCACCAAGGCUUCGACGGGUAGCUGGUCUGAGAGGACGAUCAGCCACACUGGCACUGCGACACGGGCCAGACUCCUACGGGAGGCAGCAGUAAGGAAUAUUGCGCAAUGGGCGAAAG
rnacentral:rRNA from 1 species